rfam:Gossypium arboreum cultivar AKA8401 contig_4639_1, whole genome shotgun sequence.
AUCUCGUAGUGAGGGCAUUUUUGUAAUAAUUCUUUGAAUCUCUUCCACUCCUUUUACAGGGAUUCAUCAUCGAAUUGUUUGAAAAUAGUAAUAUCGUUCUGCAACU